rnacentral:tRNA from 1 species
GGAGAGGUGGCAGAGCCUGGUUGAAUGCACAUGACUCGAAAUCAUGCAUACCCUCACGGGUAUCGGGGGUUCGAAUCCCUCCCUCUCCGCCA